CACGGAGGAUGCGAGCGUUAUCCGGAUUUAUUGGGUUUAAAGGGUGCGUAGGCGGAUCGUUAAGUCAGUGGUCAAAUUGAGGGGCUCAACCCCUUCCCGCCAUUGAAACUGGCGAUCUUGAGUGGAAGAGAAGUAUGCGGAAUGCGUGGUGUAGCGGUGAAAUGCAUAGAUAUCACGCAGAACCCCGAUUGCGAAGGCAGCAUGCCGGCUUCCUACUGACGCUGAAGCACGAAAGCGUGGGGAUCGAACAGG
rnacentral:rRNA from 1 species